CAUGACCUGAGCCGAAGUCGGACGCUUAACCGACUGAGCCACUCAGGCGCCCAGUAAGAACUAACGAUAAAAAAAUGAAAUCAACCCGUAGGCUUUCGAACCAGUUGGUGGAGGUGGAAGACAGGGAGACUGUGCAAGUAUGCCAGCAAAUGGAAGGUUCCGGAUUCAGCACAUGGAUUCCAAAUUGUAGCUAUAAACAGAGCAACUCAUAAACCCUGUACCAUGACUACUGGGCUCAUGAGCAGAGCCCCCCCACGCUUCACUUGGGCCAUCAAGAAAACCCAAGGUGCCCAGCUUCCUGCCUCAGCUACAGCCAGCCCUCCACCAGCUGUCAAGGAGCCUCGUGUUCCUUGUCUCCCGAGAAGUGGCUGGUUCUCGCCUCGUCCGCCAUGCUCUCUGUAAACUGCAAGAUAGAACAACGGCCUGGUGGCUCCCUAACCGGAUACAUUAAAUCAGCCUUCCCCUUAGAGAUCAUCGUACAGAUCCCUUCAGGAUUCACGAACGCUUCACCUCACUCACCAACAGCAGCCCGUGCCCUAUGUCAUCAACAUACGAUGUCAUUACAGAAGGCCCUAAUCCAAUGACUGAUGUCCUUACAAGGAAACGGAAAGAUCACCUGAAGACAGAGACACGGGGAGAGGACCACAUGAAGACAGGUCAGAGAUGGGAGUGCUAUAUCUACCAGCCAAGGAUCACGGGUGAUUUCUGGUGACCACCAGAAGCUAGAAAGGAAGGAUCCUCCCCUAGAGCCCUCAGAGGGAGUAUCGCCCUGCUGAUAGCUUGACUUUAGACCUCUGGCCUCCAGAACUGACAGACAAUAAACUCCUGUUGUUUUAAGCCCCCCAGUUUCUGGCAAUUUGUGACAAUAACCCUAGAAAAUGAACACACCCACUAAAUUCAAGUCACAUUGACGUCUUUGGGUUCCCUAAAUACACCAAGCUUAUCUCUGACCUACGGGUUCUGUUCUAACAUUUUUCUUUGCCCAGAAUGUUCUUCUUCCUGUCUUUAUAUGACCCGUUCCUGUGUGUCAUUCAGCUCUUAAACGUCACCUCCGCUGUCACCGAGCACUCAACCUAAGAGAGCCACCCCGUCACUCUUACACCAACCUAUUUUAGUAAUUUGCGUAACUGACAGCCAGCUAGCUUUUACAUGAUUACAUAUCGUCCGCGUCCCUCCGAGUAACAUGCACCCCAUGAAAACAGUGACCUUGCCUAUCUUACUGCUAUCUCCCAAGUGCCCAGACAGCGCUUUGUACUUAGUAGUAAGUAGAGCACAGACUAUGCCGGUUUACCCAGGACUGUCCUGGUUUUAAGCCUUAGAGUCUUGUGUCCUGGAAGGCCUGCGGGUCCCAGGAAAGCUGGGAUGUCUCAUCACCCUACUAGCAGACAUUGUCAAUCCAAUAACCGACACACUGGAAACUGAGGGGAUGAACGGACCUUUUAAAGAAAUGAAGUCCUUCCUCUCUAAAAUCGUACAUGAUGGGUGUAGUUGAGCAGAUCAGUCGCAAGGUGGCACUAGACUACUAGAUUUAUUAACAUGCCAACUUUCAUUGAGGUCUAGUCGUGGUGAGGUAGCAUUACAUUCCAAAAUGUGAGGACAGUCAGCUGUUUUUCUAGAACUGUUAGAGUCUUCUCUAAGACUGAAGUAUAGAAGUAUACACCUCUGAAGUAUUUUUCAUUCCUGUGUAUGUUCCUGACAACCAUUGAAUUUUUCCACGUAGAAAAAAGAGAAAUUUAUAAAUACUAGGACCGAUUUGCAUUUCAAAUGUUAUUUCUGAAACUUCUGUCACACUAACAUGAAAAAUAUACAUUUGGAUGGAUAAAAUUGUGAUUACCGUCACAUCUUUUAUCCGGGGAUUUAAAAUAUAGCAAGUGUAGGGGGUAGAGCUCAGUGGUAGAGCAUUUGACUGCAAAUAUAGCAAGUAUUUAUGUGACAACCUAAAGAUUUUGAUAGCUGCAGAAAAAAAAAUCAGUUUUCCAGAAAAAUCUAAUAUCAGAAAUGUACCAAGAGAAAGCUUUCCUCAAGUUUAUAGAUUUUAGGUAAGAGAUAAUACCAACUGAGUUUCAUUUUCUACCAGUGGCUCAUAGUCACCAAGUCCAAAGAGUUUUCACCUCAAGAAUUCUUGUUUGUAGUCAAGAUUUAUUGCUCGGAUUACUCCAGAAGUUAACAUUUGCUCCAGGGAAUAGUUUCUAGAAUA